AAAGUGCUAUGGGACAAGAACCAUACUAGGUACUGAGGACACAAAGAUGUAUGAUAUCGUCACUGUUCUCAAGAUGCUCCUUGUCUAGUAGAGAAGCACAUGAGUUAAAUUGAAAAAAGCCUAAUUUGCUAUAUCACAUACAAGCAACAAGUCUUAUGGAAGGCCAAGGGAGAAUACCCUACUCAGCCUAGGAGCUAAAAACAGCCUCCCAGACAAAGAAAGUCAUGUCAACUAGGAUGUAAAUCUUACACUGAGAGAGAGAGAGAGGGAGGAAGGAAGGAGAAGAGAGCUGGGAGGGGAGGGGGAGAGAGAGAGAGAGAGACAAACAGACAGACUAACUUGGGACAGGGAGCACUGGGCUAUAAAAUCCUUUGUUAACCAGUAGUUCCUCUUUCAAACUUCCACAGGGAAAUGUGUGCACAGGAACUAAUGAUCAGCUCUGGCCCUGAGUCAGUGAAAUGAACAGGUGAGGACAGACCAUGGGGAUUGUGCAGAGCAAGUUGCCUACAACAAAGAGGCAGGUGCAGGAUUCCUCCUCACCCGCAAGUUCCCUUCUAUUGUGCACUCCAUUGCAUCAGGGCUUUUCUCCACGCUCUGCUUCCAGAAACAAUCUCUUAUCCUUCAUGGCCUCAUGGCAGACCCAUGAAUUUCCAUCCUGCUCUUGCUUUCUGCUUACCUUAUGGCCCUGGAUCAAAUCACCUGGGACUCAGGC
rnacentral:lncRNA from 1 species